CACGUAGGGCGCAAGCGUUGUCCGGAAUUAUUGGGCGUAAAGAGCUCGUAGGCGGACUGUCACGUCUGCUGUGAAAAGCUGGGGCUUAACCCUGGACUUGCAGUGGAUACGGGCAGACUAGAGGUAGGUAGGGGAGAAUGGAAUUCCCGGUGUAGCGGUGAAAUGCGCAGAUAUCGGGAGGAACACCGGUGGCGAAGGCGGGUCUCUGGGCCGUACCUGACGCUGAGGAGCGAAAGCGUGGGGAGCGAACAGG
rnacentral:rRNA from 1 species